ACAUCAAUGUCAUUUCUGCUACUGAACACAUAAGUUAAUAUUUUCAACUAUAUCCUUCUGAUUUUACCUUCUUCUUUAGUAAGUGAAUUAUAUCUUUGCAAGAAAUUAGCAUAAGUGACAAAGGGAAGGUUUCAUUUCUCACACAUACUUUACCUUCUGUAUGCACUCUUCAGCUUGCUGAGGAGGGUGUCCAAGAUGGCGGCAGCGGGAGGUUUGAGGCUUAAAGCCCACCCCACUUAAAUUGUAUCUAAACAAAUAAAGGCAAGAAGCAUUAUGGCAGUAAGGUUGUGCAGAGGUGGAGAUCUCUCAGGACUAGUGCUGGCAGGGCUCUGCCUCCAUACUGGCCUUCUGAGAAAUGGAGAGGUUGUGCACAUUUGGCACUGAGGCCCAGCCGCAUCCAGCAAGGUAAAAACACAUAGGCCAGGUAUGUCUUGGGGAAAAUUAACUUGCAAGAAAAUAUAUUCUGUGUGCAAUCUCAGUUCCCCGAGCAGCACCCCUACUCCUUGCCUGACAGGAGAAAUGUCUCCUGUGGGGCUGAGGGGACCAUGCCAGCCCCUGGAGUGUUGCCUCCAUCUUGAGGGUCUCUCUGGGGUCUGUGCUGGGCAGACAGCUCCAGCUGUGGGGGUGAGGGGAGCUGGGCUGUGUUCCUUGCAGGAUUUGGGCUCCUAGGUGACCUCCAGCUCCAGAGGCCAUCCUGUGUUUUUUGUAUCUUGAAUGGCAUGUGGGGCCCUCUCCAGAUGAUGCAGGCCUGAGAUAUCUCCUGAGGCUGGAGAAUGGGAAGACAGUGGAAAGAAUCUAAACAUUUUGGGGGAAAGAAGGAAAGUGCUUGAGAAAUGCAGUGCUGAGCCACUUCUCCAUGUCAAGGGGUAUCUGGGUUUAGAUUUCCAGGAUGAGAUAGUUUAGGGGUACAGGGAAGAGUUUCCCUUUUUAAAGUGGACAGUGACAGAAAAAUGCUGCAGAAUCUCCCAGCAGAGACCUCAGAACUUCCCACUGAAGUGCACCUGCUUCUUCCAGGUUGGACCUGCCUCAGUGAGACUUGUGGUGGGAAGCAGACCUGGUGCUGGCUGCAAUCUGCAAUCAGAGGUCAAUUUUGUUUUCCUGUAUCGCAGCAGCAGAGUUCUUUCCCAAAGCGACCCAAGGACAGGCGGUGUGGAGCCACAGUGACCUCCGCCGGCCAGCCCUGCCUUGCUGCGGAUCUGACAGCUUUUCCAGCUCCCAAAGGAUCCUACAGAGAGCACUGAUGUAUUCAAGGCUGUGCAUGCUGGCAUCGCAUCUAGAUCUCCACAGUAAGGGCAACGUUGAGGGCAUCUUUCAUCCUGGGGCAAGCGUAGAGCAUUGGAAAGAUGUUCUGCUACAAAAAUUUUGCGACAAGCUGCCAUCGUCUCCUGCAGGGCAAAUACAGGAGUCUACUGCUGAAGACAAGCCAUCAGAGCCUGCCUCAGGUGCUGACAGCACUUCUUUAACACAUCAGCUUCUCUAGCACAAGCCUUAUUCUCAACAACAGCUGCUACUGAUCGAGCUGUUACUGAUCGGGCAUCUUCUCCUUGUCAGCUAAAAGGCAAAAGCAAACCUGUCAGAAACAACGUGGCCUAGUGUCUUGUGGACAGAGGGCUAGAUCAGCUCCCAGCCUGCUGACUGCAUGCUCACGUCCAGUACAGCGAUCCAAAGGUGCUUUCAGAUGGGCCCGAGGAAGCCCAGUCGAUCUUUUGGAAGCAGGAGGGAAGGUUGUGUGAUGAAGUGGCAAGGCUUGGAUUCAGACACCUGACCCGCCUGCCAUCUAGUGUAUGUUCAGAGCAUACUUCCAGGAGAACAAAGAACAGAAUUAAUCUGAGGGAAUGUGGCACAUUACCGAGAGCCCAUGCUGAAAACAGCUUCAUAUUUUCAUUGCAAGGUUCUGCUUUUUGGCAGUAGGGUAUACCCUAAAAACAGAUCACUAGCAGCCAUUUGAUUGCAGUGAUCACAUUGCUUUCGAAAACACAACAGACAAAACCCAGCCUACUUCCUUUAGCUGCAAAAGAAGCAGUUUACGUUUUCCACAACCAAUUAUACCCCGUUUACACAAGACAAGCUACAGAAAACUUGUGUUCUAGGUCUACUGCUUUUACCAAGCGUUACCUCUUUCAUCUGUUUAGCAGCCUGUCUGGAACAGCUGCUCACACUUGAUAUGCACAGACAUUGAACAAAACAGUGGUCCUCUGUGACACAGAGCCCCAGUGCUCACGUAUCUGUAUAUCAGACAUC
ensembl:lncRNA